CCAAUUAUAAAGAAAUAAACGGAUGUCCGAAUAAAUUUGUGCUGACUGUAUGUGCACGUACGCAAAGUAAACCUAACUGUUCUUUUCAUCCUCUUUAUACAAUCUUGUCCGCUUUUUGGCAGACACACACACAAUGAAAGCCUCAGUAUUGCUUUUUUUAAACGACGCCGAAACGACGAGCUAUUGCCGACUUCAGUGCUGUUUACGAUAUUCGUAUGAAAUGACAAAUAAUUUUAAUUAUUAUUAUUGUUGCAAGCACGCACCACCCUACACCGGGAAGCGAUGAAAUGAGUGCUCCGCAGGUCCGUGCUCCCCAACAAGUGCCCGGCGGAGGAUACGCCAGACGAAUGAUGGAGUUAUGGACAUCCAUUGUGGAAACUGAGGAGCAACAAAAGAAACAAGAACUGUUCGACAAAGGUCCACUAACUGUUGAAGCGUCACCUCCGCAGACAUGCAAAAUUCAGAUUCAUCAAACAUCCUCGCCCGCCCUGAAAGUUCCGAACAAAAUCGGUGCAAAAACUCCAUGGGCAAGAUCAUUUCGAUCACUCCAAGAACCCAGCAGCCGGAGCUCGGAGCUCCGAGUCUAUUAAUGGUGACUACCGGUAUUGUCCAGGCCCGGUGCAACAGGGCACGUUGGCUGGUGGUGGUCAGAAUCAGCGUCAGACCGUGCAGGUGCCCUGUCCGUCCCCGGCCUCUGACCGUUCUGCCACUCCCGUUCGGAUCGAGGAACAAGAUGUUCUUCUCCAGGCCUCCGUAGACAUGGUUCUGGGGGACGCUGAUGGCCCCAAUGACGCUAAUGCCAUCAUUUCUCCUGUCCCACAACUCGGGGGCUAAGGCCAACAAACAAUGCCGGGAAUACUCAAAAUUUUCAAUGCGAACGCAGACGUCCGAUCAGAGUGGCAAAAGCUGAGACGUGGCUCUGCAAAACUGAAAUGCAAGCAAAGAGGUCGCAUUGCGGACGUAGUAAUUGAUUACUUUCAAGCUAGGAACAUCGAAUUGAACCGCCAACGCUGCCUUGUCCUUGCCCAGGAGAUCGUGACACGACUCGAGCACGAGGAAAGUAAAGAUUGGACUAAUUUAGAGAAGGGUAAAACAUGCUAGGAAAAUGCGGUACUCAAAUUUUUAAAAACGACACCUAAUGCAGAUAUAUCAGAUGAAAUUAAUAUUUGUUAUCGUUUGACAACAUAUAUCACAUAUUUCAAGAAAAGUCGCAGAGCACGAAGAAGGCAGGCUGCCGAUCUUGUUGUUUCAGAGGGAGGAAACAUUAAUUUUUUGAUUUGGCCGCACGAAAGCGAGGAAAAUACGACCUCGCUUCUGUUCUAAAACUUCUAUCUUUAUGCCCAGAGAAGGCCAAAUUAGUUCAUAAGGCUGUACAGGACCCAGUAGGAAAGCCGACACCUAUUUCUCCUGACCAAAUUUUUGAACCGCCGCUGUCCUGUAUGUAUGGAAACAUAUGAAAACAUAACGGUGUCAGAAUCUUUUUCUCAUUCUUCGAAAUAUUUCGUGUGCGUCACAUUGGUCAAGGAAAAUGUCGAACAUUGAGGUAUCUUUAAGAGGGGAAGUGCAGGAAAAUCCUUUAUUUUAUGUAACCAAAUUAGAAAUGGACGAAAAAGAAAAAUUAAUUAUUAAGAUGUAA